ACCCCGGGGAGAGCUGAUCCCGGACAGGGGUUCCGAGGAGGUAAAGGAAGCUCCCUGGUGAAGUCCCGGGAUGCGACUGGAUCCGGAGUCCCCUACCGCAGCCCGCGCACGACCCUCGGAAGCCUGUCUCCGCGGCCCCCGACCCAGGUCCCCGCUGCCGCCGCGCUGCCAGGUAGCCAGAGGGUCGCAGGAGGAAGGAAGGGAGCGCGGGACGGGCGGAGGAGGGUGGAGCCACCGGCGCGUCCUCUCCCUCGGGCAGGCAGGCAGGCGGGCGGCGGGCUGGGGCGGCGGCAGAGAAGGCAGCGGGAGCGGGGAGACACCGGCCGCUAGCGCCGCUUCGCUCCUGCUCAGGCAGCGGCUUCGGCCCGACCCGCUCCGCCUCUGCCAGGCUCCGGCGCGCACCUGCCGGGUAGGUGGCGCCUGAGUCCCUGCAGCCGCGGCCACUUCCGUCACCUUCGUAGCCGCUGCGCGGAGCCUCCCGGCUUUGUUUGCGUCCAUCCGCCGGCUGCGACUCCCAGGCUCGGCUCUGAGGCUCCAUGGACUGCGCGCCGCGCCUGCAUGGCUCUGGGCUCGCCC
ensembl:lncRNA novel transcript